UACGUAGGGGGGCGAGCGUUAUCCGGAUUUACUGGGCGUAAAGCGCGUUAAGGCGGUCGGCAAAGUUGGUUGUGAAAUCUCAGGGCUCAACCCUGAAAUUGCGACCAAUACUGGUCGACUAGAGUGCAAGAGAGGAAGGUGGAAUUCCCGGUGUAGUAGUGAAAUGCGUAGAUAUCAAGAGGAACACCAGUGGCGAAGGCGAGUCCCUGGACAACUUCUGACGCUGAGGCACGAAAGCUAGGGGAGCAAACAGG
rnacentral:rRNA from 1 species